rnacentral:tRNA from 2 species
AGAAACAUGUCUGAUAAAAGAGUUACUUUGAUAGAGUAAAAUAUAGGGGUUCAAAUCCCCUUGUUUCUA